AGCUACUGUUCUGGUUUAAAAAGGAAGUGAGUUUUUUGGGAUGCUGUGGUCAAACCAAUCGGUACUCAGAUUUGAAUAUUGGCACCUGGUGUGGCCACUGAGGAUAUGGACACGCCUCUGAGAACUCAGGGGAUAAAAGCAGAGAACUGCCAGGAGAAAGUUCUCUUGGUUCCGGUUAGUGAAGAGUCCAGACCUGCCCUGCCCAGCUGCGGGCUGGGCGGGGGAGGGGAAGCCAUGUGGCCGGGAUGAGUUUUGUUGAGGCAUUGCCACUCAUCUGGGAGACCCUCCCUUCAAAAUGACUUCUGGAGUCCCAGAGAAGAGCUUGACACCUCAUCUUUUGUCCAGGAAAGAUUGACAUCUUUUACUCUGCUUCCCCCUAAGUUCCUGUGGGAGAAGUUUCUCAACAUGAAGAAGAAGGCCAGCACUGGGGGGAGUUUUCUGCCCAGAAUUGGCCCAUGUGUAGACCUGAGGGAGAUUAGUCCAAAGCUGCCGUCAGAUCCCGGAAAGCAGAACUUGUUUCAGAUUUCCCCACCAGAGGUGGUAUUUCAGAACUUUGACAUUCAUGGUGUCUCUGAAAUGGUGCUGUCUCUCACCAAUGUGUACAAGUUUCCUCAGGUGGUGAAGGUCUCCAUGGAGAGCUCCUCUUACUUCCAGCUCACGUGCUCCAGCGAUGUGUUCCGUGUCGUGCCGCCGGGCGCGUCUGCCCCUGUGCGCAUCCGCUUCAGCCCCGCCGAGAACAAGGAUUAUUCCCAUGAGCUCGUCUGUGUCACUGAAAGGGAAAGGACAGUUGUGCCAAUUUGGGCCAUUGGUGCCCGAGCUAGCCUGGACUUCCCUGACCAGCUGGACUUCUCCAAGUGUCCAGUCAAGUGCAGCAUCCAGAAGACUCUGCUGUCUGCAAUGUCGGUACCCAGGCAGCUCGUUACCAGCUGAGCACCCAGAGUCCUUUCUCCGUGGUGCCGGCCAUAGGAAUUCUGGACACUGGUGACACCAUGCAGGUGACAGUGGGAUUUCACCCGCUGACCACGGGUGACCACUGUGGGUCCCUGGCAGUGUGCUGCAGCACAGGUGAAGAAAAUAUCCACACAAACCUCCGCGGAGAUGCUGUAGAAGUCAAUGCUGGGUUGAGCACAAACUCCAUGGAGUUUGAGAAGACUUUCAUCACCAUGUCAAGCCACAAAACCAUGUUCAUUGAAAAAAGGAGUAACAUCACAGCCCACUUCCAGUGGAAGGCUUUUCCUACUGAGAAAGGAGAGAUUGAAGAGAAGAGGAGGUUGGUGUGAAAGAUGCAUUUCAGUGCGAUCCAUGGCCCAAGACUGAAACUGAUGCGUGGCCUGAGGGGGGUGUUGGUGCUUGUGAAUGGUUUAGGCCAAGUAAACCAUGCCUGACACUGA